rnacentral:rRNA from 1 species
AGUGAACGCUGGCGGUAGGCCUAACACAUGCAAGUCGAACGGCAGCACAUGUAUAGCUUGCUCUUACGGGUGGCGAGUGGUGGACGGGUGAGGAAUACAUCGGAAUCUAUGUGUGCGUGGGUGAUUACGUAGGGAAACUUACGCUAAUACCGCAUAUGUCGUGCGGGUGAAAGCAGGGGAUCUUCGGUCCGUUUGUUCGUGAAUGAGUGGAUGUCGGAUUAGCUAGUUGGCGGGGUAAAGGCCCACCAAGGCGACGACCCGUAGCUGGUCUGAGAGGAUGAUCAGCCACACUGGAACUGAGACACGGUCCAGACUCCUACGGGAGCACGCAGUGGGCACACUUGGACAAUGGGCGCAAGCCUGAUCCAGCCAUACCGCGUGGGAGAAGAAGGAAUUCGGGUUGUAAAGCCCUUUUGUUGGGAAAGACAAGAAACAGGUUAAUACCCCGCUGUUCUGACGGUACCCAAAGAAUAAGCACCGGCUAACUUCGUG